rnacentral:rRNA from 1 species
CCCAGACUCCUACGGGAGGCAGCAGUGAGGAAUAUUGGUCAAUGGGCGGAAGCCUGAACCAGCCAAGUCGCGUGAGGGAAGAAGGCCCUGCGGGUCGCAGACCUCUUUGGACGGGGAGCAAGGCCGCCGACGUGUCGGCGGAAGGAGAGUACCCGUAGAACAAGCAUCGGCUAACUCCGUGCCAGCAGCCGCGGUAAUACGUAGGGGGCUAGCGUUAUCCGGAAUUACUGGGCGUAAAGGGUGCGUAGGUGGUUUCUUAAGUCAGAGGUGAAAGGCUACGGCUCAACCGUAGUAAGCCUUUGAAACUGGGGAACUUGAGUGCAGGAGAGGAGAGUGGAAUUCCUAGUGUAGCGGUGAAAUGCGUAGAUAUUAGGAGGAACACCAGUUGCGAAGGCGGCUCUCUGGACUGUAACUGACACUGAGGCACGAAAGCGUGGGGAGCAAACAGGAUUAGAUACCCGUGUAAAC